CAGACCAUUGGUAUGCAAUGAAAAACAUAAACAGCAUGUCAUAGAAUGUCAAACUACCCACAGGAAAAUUAAAGAAAAAGAACCCACUGUCUCAAACCCAGAACUUAUUUUAAGUAUACAGCCUGUACUAAGUAUACAGUUCAUACUAAAUUCUGCGAGUAAACCAUGAGACACUGUCUCAAGUUUAUCCACUCAUCACUGAACCAGGCUUCAAAUGAUUAUGUUAAGAUACUUCAGCCUUUCAGAUGUGGCAUCUGGCCUAGAUAAUGCCCAUGGUUUAGGCCAACAUGCUUUACUCUUGCUUUGCAGUGGACAAGACUACAUAGUUCUUGAUUAAAUGACCUACAGAAUCUUAAAGUCACAUGUCUAAGCUUACUAGCAGCAAAUACCUUCAACUUAAUUCAGGAAUUGGGAUAUAUCUUGCAAAUAGCAUAUUUGUGCUGCCAGGCUCAUGAGCACUGUUUUGAAAUGUUAGUAGUAACAUUAGAAGUUUAUUCUCCCUUAUAACACAGCUUAAUUCAUAGUCUGUUUAUGCUGUUUCCUCUUCCAUCAAGAUUUCCUCAUGUUCCUUCCUUGUAGUCCUAUUAAUCUUCUAGUCUCCUUCACCAAGCUAAAUAAACCAAUGUUUUCUUCUGUGUCCUGCCCUAGUCCCUGCCCCCAUCAGCUGUCUGUUUUCCUAUCAUUCCAGGACCUACUUCUACCUCAUUCUACUUUGAACUUUGAUUCUCAAACAUAGAACAUAGUCUUUCAUGCAAUAUGAGAAAUACCUAGAAAGCAAGACAUUUCAUUAAUAAAAAGUAGCUGCAGAAUCAUAUUUACCAUACUGGACUGUAUUUUCAGUACAAAAUGCUUCUUUGUAAUAAAAUUCUUCCAUUAAAGUAAUUAGACUUUGCUAUGUGCUUUAUUUACUAUGUUCUCUUUACUAUGCCAUAUCAGCAUCCAGCUUCCUGGAAAACCAAAGCUAAUUUUGGGGGACAAGGAAAUGUUCCUGAAGGACACUCUGUUCUCCCUCUAGCUGUUUUUCUGCUUUAAAAAGAAUGUGUGAGAAGAGAAAAACAGCUAAACCUCUUAUGGUUAAUCUGGGUGCUUGUUGGAAUAGAGCAAAACAAGUAAUGUGUAAAGGCUGGAUUGUUAGUGUACUUCAGGGCAAAAAAAAAAGGCUUAGGGACUUGAAACUGUCUAUUGCUGAUGAUACAGCACUGGGAGGAGCUGUUGACUCCCUUGAAGGCAGGGAGGCCCUGCAGAGACCAGAGGACUGGGCAAUCACAAACCACAUGCAGUUCAACAAGGGACAGUGCUGGAUUCUGCUCCUGGGAUGCAGCAACCCAAAAUGCAGGUUCCCGAAGAGACUCCCCAGUGUCUUCUGCAUAUAUUUCUGGACUCCACUGGAUAAAGAAGACAUACAAAUGAUCUGUCCUAGAAAAGUCAAGUUACGACACAGAAAAGAAAAAUAAGGCAUUAAAUAGUCUUGCUGUUUUCCUCUGGGCUCUCUCCAAUUGAUCCAUAUCUGUCCUCAACUGCAGUGCCCCAACUGGACAUUCUAUGCCAUUCAGCCCAAAAGAAAAGAUGGAAAAGUGACUUGAUCAUUGUUGAUUCCGAUGAUGCUCCAGAAGAUUUAUCUUGUCGAAGCUCAUCUGAGGAAACAAGCUCCUCACGUAUUGGAGAGAGUUCUGAUUCUGUGAAUACAUCUUCUGAAAGAGACUCCUCUGUGCUUCUUGGGGCAGUACU